AGCUCCAAUAGCGUAUAUUAAAGUUGUUGCAGUUAAAAAGCUCGUAGUUGAAUUUCUGGGUCGGGCGGCGGUCCGUGGUCCUUCGUGGCGACGAGUACUUGUGUGUCCCGGUCCAAACUUUUGUGGGGUGCGUGUGCGGAUGCUUAACUGUGUUUGUGUGCGUGUGAAGCCCUGCAUCGAUUACUGUGAACAAAUUAGAGUGUUUAAAGCAGGCUUUGCAGCUUGAAUACAUUAGCAUGGAAUAAUGAUAUAGGACUUUGGUGCUAUUUCGUUGGUUGUGUACCAAGGUAAUGAUUAAUAGGGAUAGUUGGGGGUAUUCAUAUUUGAUUGUCAGAGGUGAAAUUCUUGGAUUUAUUAAAGAUGAACAAGUGCGAAAGCAUUUACCAAGGAUGUUUUCA
rnacentral:rRNA from 1 species